rnacentral:rRNA from 1 species
GAUGAACGCUAGCGGCAGGCUUAAUACAUGCAAGUCGAACGGGAUUCGGGGUAGCAAUACUUUGAUGAGAGUGGCGCACGGGUGCGUAACGCGUAUGCAACCUACCUUUAACAGGUGAAUAGCCCCGAGAAAUCGGGAUUAAUACACCGUAACAUUGCGCUGUGGCAUCACAGUGCAAUUAAAGAUUUAUCGGUUAAAGAUGGGCAUGCGUGACAUUAGCUAGUUGGUGAGGUAACGGCUCACCAAGGCAACGAUGUCUAGGGGUCCUGAGAGGGUUAUCCCCCACACUGGUACUGAGACACGGACCAGACUCCUACGGGAGGCAGCAGUAAGGAAUAUUGGUCAAUGGGCGCAAGCCUGAACCAGCCAUGCCGCGUGCAGGAAGACGGCCCUAUGGGGUUGUAAACUGCUUUUGUCAGGGAAUAAACCUGUCUACGAGUAGACAGCUGAAGGUACCUGAAGAAUAAGCAUCGGCUAACUCCGUGCCAGCAGCCG